GUCCCUGUAGAUUAGUGGUUAGAUCACCACGUUGUGGCAUUUGCUUAACAAUUCCGUGGCGACGCAGGCUCGACUCCUGCCAGGGACA
rfam:Lentinula edodes NBRC 111202 DNA, contig: scaffold18.